rnacentral:rRNA from 1 species
AUACGGAGGGUGCGAGCGUUAAUCGGAAUUACUGGGCGUAAAGCGUACGUAGGCGGUUCGUUAAGUUAGAUGUGAAAGCCCCGGGCUUAACCUGGGAACUGCAUUUAAAACUGGCGGACUAGAGUUGAGUAGAGGGGAGUGGAAUUUCAGGUGUAGCGGUGAAAUGCGUAGAGAUCUGAAGGAACACCAGUGGCGAAGGCGACUCCCUGGACUCGAACUGACGCUGAGGUACGAAAGCUAGGGGAGCGAACAGGAUUAGAUACCCGAGUAGUCC